UGGUGAGUGUUGCGGCUCCGGUCGAUGGGGGCUUCCGUGGGACGAACACAGUCACUUUCUCCGGGUCCCAGCGCUGGGGUGCGGGAUUGGGUCUCUGCAAUCCAGCUUGCGGUAGCAGGUCCUGUGUGAGUCCCAGUGUGUGCAACAGGGUCUGUGCCUCAGUGAUGUCGCGGACUGCGUGCUGGGUUUCUCCGUGUCGGAUCAUCAGAGUUCGUGACAGCCUCCAUUGAUACUGUAUGUUCUUCUGCCUAAGUAGGGUGGUGAGCGGUUGGAGGGAUCUCCGCCACGCCAGAGUGCCUCCCGAGAGGUCUGGGUAAAAGGUGAGUUGCAUUCCUUCAAAGGUGUAAGAGUCACGGUUUUUGAGGGCCAUGAGCAUUGUUGCCUUGUCCUUGCCAUUGCGAAACCGGACAAUUAGAUCCCUCGGGGCGGCUGCUGGGGCUUUCGGUGCUUUUGGUAUGCGGAAGCAAUCUUCCAUAGUCAUGGAGUUGGCCUGUCUUGGGGAUAGUAAUGCUACCAUGAGGCGCCUCAUCAUGUGUGGUAGUUCCUCUGUGGGUAUAGCUUCCAGGACGCCUCUAAUUUUUAAAUUGUUUUUGCGCCGCAUGUCCUCCUGCAUCGUAAAUUUGGCAUCAUACGCUGCGUUCUGUUUCUGGAGCCCCAGGAUUGUGCGCUGCAAGGAGGCAAUUUGUUGUGUAUGCUCUCCUGUGGUGGCUUCCACGGCUCCAAUCCGGCCUGUCAGGCCCUGGAGGUCUGCGCGUAGGUUUGCCAUGUCUGCCAGGAUAUUGUGUUGAAGGUCUGCCAGCAGGUUUUUCAGCACUGCUGUUGUUACCGGUUCUUUGUCUGGGCUGACCGGUUUGGUUGUCGGUGCCGGUCUAAUCGGCAUGUCGUCUUCUUCGUCCUCGAGGGACUCAUCAGAGAGGUCUGAAUAGGCCUCAGGGUAGUCGGCCAUUUUGGGCCCGCCGGCCUGCUGUGCCUGCCUUAGGAGCACUCCGAUAUCAUGACUUAGUCUGGGUUUAUCAGGCUUUAUCUUUUUGGUUUUUCGACCCAUGUUGUAGUGUGGGUCUACCGCCUGCCUCUAUUGUCGUUUCGGUCCAGCGAUAUUGCAGGUAAAGUGCGUGAAUUGCUCGGUGUGUCUCGGAGCUCCGAGACCGUGCGGCCAUGCAGUUCAGUCGCUUAGCCACGCCCCCCC